GACGAACGCUGGCGGCGUGCCUAAUACAUGCAAGUCGAACGCAGUGGGGACGGGUGAGUAACACGUGGGUAACCUCCCAUCAGAGGGGAUAACACUAGGACACAGGUGCUAAACAGAUACUGUUGGAUGGACCCGCGGUGCAUUAGCUAGUUGGUGAGGUAACGGCUCACCAAGGCCAGGAUGCAUAGCAGACCUGAGAUGGUGAGCGGCCACACUGGGACGGAGACACGGCCCAGACUCCUACGGGAGGCGGCAGUAGGGAAUCUUCGGGAAUGGGUGAAAGUCUGACCGAGCAACGCCACGUGAGUGAAGAAGGUUUUCGGAUCGUAAGACUCUGUUGUUAGAGAAGCGGUAUCAAACCAGAAAGCCACGGCUAACUACGUGCCAGCAGCCGCGGUAAUUC
rnacentral:rRNA from 1 species